GCCAGCAUUCAGUGAGGGCACUCUAAGGGGACUGCCGGUGGAUAAGCCGANGAGGAAGGUGGGGAUNACGUCAAGUCCUCAUGGCCCUUACGGGCUGGGCUACACACGUGCUACAAUGGUGGUGACAGUGGGCAUCGACACCGCGGAGGUCGAGCUAAUCUCCAAAAGCCAUCUCAGUUCGGAUUGCACUCUGUAACUCAAUUGCAUGAAGUUGGAAUCGCUAUUAAUCGAUGAUCAGCAUGCCGCGGUGAAUACGUUCACGGGCCUUGUACACACCGCCCGUCUCACCAUGAGAGUGGGUUGUACCCGAAGGCGCUAUGUUAACCGCAAGGACGCAUGCGACCACGGUAGGGUCAGCGACUGGAGUGAAAUCGUAACAAGGUAACCGUAA
rnacentral:rRNA from 1 species